rnacentral:rRNA from 1 species
GUGAGGAAUAUUGCGCAAUGGGCGAAAGCCUGACGCAGCGACGCCGCGUGGAGGAUGAAGGUCUUCGGAUUGUAAACUCCUGUCGUGCGGGACGAAUGCCUCGGUCGCUAAUAUCGGCCGGGGUUGACGGUACCGCAGGAGGAAGCCCCGGCUAACUCCGUGCCAGCAGCCGCGGUAAUACGGAGGGGGCCAGCGUUGUUCGGAAUCAUUGGGCGUAAAGGGCGCGUAGGCGGCCGAUCAAGUCGAACGUGAAAUCCCCCGGCUCAACCGGGGACCUGCGUCCGAUACUGCUCGGCUCGAGUCCCGGAGAGGGUAGUGGAAUUCCCAGUGUAGCGGUGAAAUGCGUAGAUACUGGGAGGAACACCGGUGGCGAAGGCGGCUACCUGGACGGGUACUGACGCUGAGGCGCGAGAGCUGGGGGAGCAAACAGGAUUAGAUACCCCGGUAGUCC